CACGGGGGGAGCAAGCGUUGUUCGGAAUCACUGGGCGUAAAGGGCGCGUAGGCGGCUUGGCAAGUGGAUGGUGAAAUCCCUCGGCUUAACCGAGGAACGGCCGUCCAAACUGCUUCGCUUGAGACCGGGAGAGGUGAGUGGAAUUCCCAGUGUAGCGGUGAAAUGCGUAGAUAUUGGGAGGAACACCAGUGGCGAAGGCGGCUCACUGGACCGGUACUGACGCUGAAGCGCGAAAGCGUGGGGAGCAAACGGG
rnacentral:rRNA from 1 species